UACAGAGGUGGCAAGCGUUGUUCGGAAUUACUGGGCGUAAAGGGCGCGUAGGCGGUCUUGCAAGUCCCGUGUGAAAUCCCUCGGCUCAACUGAGGAACUGCACGGGAAACUGCCUGGCUUGAGUUCGGGAGAGGGAAGCGGAAUUCCGGGUGUAGCGGUGAAAUGCGUAGAUAUCCGGAGGAACACCGGUGGCGAAGGCGGCUUCCUGGACCGACACUGACGCUGAGGCGCGAAAGCCAGGGGAGCAAACGGG
rnacentral:rRNA from 1 species